AGUCGUACAGUGUACCGACUAGGUCAGCAUGUACAAGGUGGACCGAAGGGACGGUUUCUAUGACUCUUUGUGACUAGCCCGAUAUUAAUAUCUCAAUCUUUUUUUUUGUUGAAACUGUAGAAAUAACUUGUGACAUUUCAUAUACAAAUGCAAAUACAAAUGCAAGCUGGCGUUUCUCAGAGACGUUUAAUAAUUACUAGCACAGAAUACUUUAGUUCCUUGUUGCUGGUUUAUAGCAGUCGACAGGGGCAGUUCUACCAAAGGUGCGGCUUUAAGAACCAUCAUUACCUUGACAGGUUAAAACAAGGCGUGACAUCUCCCAGCAUGGGACAUAGGUGCUCCGUCCACAAGGACUAACAUGGUACAACGAUAAACAGGCUACUCACCAAACGAGAUAAUCAGAGAGAAUAUCAGAAACUUUGCAAUCUUCAAAGAAGUCGAACGAGGCAACUCCAUCCCUAGAUCCAGAGUGGAUUGGAGGGCCAGCGAGGUCGCAUCCACCGUUGAUCUGUUGUGGCGGUCGAGCUAAGGGGAAGAUACAGGGUGCGGAAUAUAGUUCUCAGCAUUGUAGCAGCACCAGUUCCAGAGACAAAGUCCAAUGUCUUCAAUGAGGUAGAGGUAAACCGAACAGUACCCUAGCUUAUGGAAGGGCUGAUCAGAAGCCUGAUAACAGAGGGGAAGAAGCCGUUCCCAAAUUUCCUUUGCUCCAUUGAUGCUGCCUCACCCGUUGAGUUUCUCCAGCAUUUUUGUCUACCUCCGAGUCUGAUGGUGCUCGCUUUCAAGCUUCUGUACCUUCUGCCAGAUGGGAACAGGGAGAAGGAGGAAUGAACAAGUCACGGUGUUCCAGGUCACAAGAUUGGCAGCAACAAAUGGAGACACAAGGAACUGCAGAUGCUGGAAUCAAGAGCAGAACACAAAGUGCUGGAGGAACUCAGCAGGUCAGGCAGCAUCUGUGGAGGGAAUGGACAGGCGACGUUUCAGGUUCAUUUAGGAUGCGGAAGACAAAGCAUAUAAAACACAGAAAUGUAGAGCACAGGAACAGGCCCUUGGGCCCGCAAUGUCCAUGCUGAACAUGACGCCCAGAACUGUCUGCAUAUGAUCCAUAUCCAUGAAUAAAUCUGAAGUGAUCAUACAGGUUGCAAUUUAGAUCAAGUUGUUUUUGAUAGUAUACUAUGUGACAUACAAACAUGCCUUACAAUAGCUGGCAAAAUCUUUCACUUAGCAAAUUGCAUAAUCCUUUGUCGGGACCAAAAUAACUCUCAGUACUUGGGAAGGUAACUAAGUUUAGAAAUGAAGGGAAUGAGUGGUAUGCAGUGCUGUGUUCUCUCGUAUGAAAUCGCCCAGCAAAGUACAGAUGAGAGGCUAGAGAAAAAUAACUCAAAAGGUGACAAUUAUGAAGCAUACACAAUGUGUAAUUAUCUCUUUUCCCCAGCAAAUCUAUUUUUGAGAGCAUGGUGUUGAUGCAUUCUUUGAAAGCACUUUCAUUGUGACUUGCUUACUACAUAGUACAACCAGUGUCAAAUUAAAUCCCCACAGAGUGAAAUUCCUUAAACAGUCCUCGAAAGAAACAAACACAAACAUACACUAGUUCUAUCCUACACACACGGGCCAAAAAGGUUCUGGAACGAAGGGCGACACUAAAUCAGUGGUGGACCUGUAUUAAUAAUGUAAACUCACCCGCUUUACAAUUUAACUCUAGCACUUACAAUAUUCCAAAAGAAACAACAUAAGAUAUAAUCCCGAGAUCGAUUUAAUCGAUAAGGGUAGGCCGAAACAAAACUAGUAUUUCAACUAAUAAACCAAACUAUUAUUCCAACGAUGCAUAGUUGGCAGAUUUUCACUCAUCUGUACAACACACACUCAUUUGCACACACACAUACACACAGAUGUGCGGCAUGGAACAGCUGGUUUAGCUUCUCCGGAGAUUACCAGCCAUUGGUGGUCACUUCUGCAGCUGGGAAGUCAGCAGAGGCUGUAACCAUUGCACUAUGCUGCAAAUAAACGUUCAGAUCUGGGUGAUUCUCCACGGCGGGUUAAAGUGCCUGAGUAAGUGCCUGAAGUAAGUGCCAGUUUUUCCAACUUUUAACAUUAUGGAGGUAUUUAAAUAAUGCAAUGUGAGACACAUGUGAACAAUAAUUGCUACUCAACGAUAAAGAGAUCAACAAGGAAAUGGCAGUAGUGGAAAUGUUUUUGCUGAGAGUCAUAGCAUGGCAACAGGCCCUUCGGCCCAACUUGCCCACACCAACCAACAUGUCCCAUCUACAGUAAUCCCAACUGCUUGUGUUUGGCCCAUAUCCCUCUAAACCUGUCCUAUCCAUGUACCUGUCUAACUGUUUCAUAAAUGUUGCAAUAGUACCUGCCUCAACUACCUCUUCUGGCAGCUUGUUCCAUACACCCACCACCCUUCUGAGUAAAAAAAGUUACUCCUUAGGUUCUUAUUAAAUCUACCCCCUUGUUCUCGAUUCCCCUACUCUGCAAUACCCUACAUUAUUAAUCUCAUGAUUUUGUCCACCUCUAUAAAAUCACCCCUCAUCUGCACUCCACUCCUCCUAGUCUGCUCAACAUAUUGCUCAGGCCCUUGAGUCUUGGCAACAUCCUCAAAUUUUUUCUGCACCCUUUCCAGCUUGACAAUAUAUUUCCUAUAACCUGGUGACCAAAACAGAACACAAUACUCUAAAUCAGGCCUCGCCAACAUCUUAUGUACCAGGAACACAAUCUCCCAACUUCUAUACUCAGUACUCUGACAGUUGCCUGACCCGCUGAGUUACUCCAGCAAUUUGUGUCCACUCCUCGAUCUCUCUGCUCUAAACAUACCCAGAGCCCUACCAUUCUGGGGAGUGUUGUAGAGCAGAGAGAUGUAGGAGUGCAGGUAGUGGUGGCACAGGUCACAUUGCUAUUGAAUCAUUUCACCCCGUGACUGUCCCUUACGACUGAUAGUGAUGCUAGCCACUAGCCCUUUCUUCUCCCAAGGGAUAUUUGAAGGAGAUUAAUAUAUCUUAUUUCCCUCCCAAAGUUUGGCUGACUUUGAUCAGAUGGUGCGGAAGCAGAAAGAUUAAAGUGCGCGCAGUUUUUUACCAUCGUGCUAAUCUUUGUUGGCAACGCCACGAUUUUUCAUUCCAUCCCCACUGGGAAGGCAGCCUUUUCAGUGUCUCAUCACAUUGAUGGUGGUGGGAAGAAAGUCCACCCAAUAUUCCCUUCCAACUACCCUCCCAUUUAUUCUGCCCAUACUCUCGCCGAAGAAAAAUGUUUGCCUUACAGUGCUAAAGACUCCAGGUGCUGUCUGUACAGAGCUUGUACGUUCUCCCUGUGACCGUGUGGCAUUCAGCACCACAUGUUUCACUUGGGCAGCUUGCAACCCAGUGGUGUUCAUUCAAGUAACCCUUGCAUCUCCUUCCUCUCUGUCCUUCCCCCACCCUAGUUUCACUGUCAUCCUGCUUAGUUCCACUGUUUGUAUCAUCUUCUCCACAGCCUACAACAGACCAUUGUGGGCUCCAUUGAUCAUUGUUGUUAGUUUUGAUUUGUUCUUUUCACACCUUUCAUUCAUUUGCUCUUUGUAACUUUUCAUACCUCUAGUUUCUCUCUCCCCGAGUCUGAAGAAGCCUCUUGAUCCGAAACGCCACCUAUUCCUUUUCUCCAGAGAUGUUGCCUGAUCCUCUGAGUUACUCCAGCAUUUUGCAUCUGAGCCAGAGAUAGCGUUGCUUUUUCAUUUGCUAUUACAGGUUGAAGACUGGAGGGCUGUACAACCAGUCUGGCAAGUAAUGUCUACUUGCUCAAGAACCUUUAAGAAAAUGCAGGAAUUAUAAAGUUAGAGUACCUUGCAAUCAUGGACAUUUGUCAGACCAAAUGCCUUGGACCAAUGCACCUGUAAUAAUGUAAUCCAGA